rnacentral:rRNA from 1 species
UACGAAGGGGGCUAGCGUUGUUCGGAGUUACUGGGCGUAAAGGGCGCGUAGGCGGCGCACCAAGUCAGGCGUGAAAGCCCUGGGCUCAACCCGGGAAUUGCGCUUGAGACUGGUGUGCUUGAGUACGGGAGAGGAUAGUGGAAUUCCCAGUGUAGAGGUGAAAUUCGUAGAUAUUGGGAAGAACACCGGUGGCGAAGGCGGCUAUCUGGACCGUAACUGACGCUGAGGCGCGAAAGCGUGGGUAGCAAACAGG